GUGAUUAAAUCGAGCGUGUCUUCAUUGACCGCUCACCCUUCUCACCAUCCACAUACACCUGUGCACUGUUUAGCCUGAGCCGGUUUUCCGGUCCAGGUUAUCAUUUUCAUACAAACUCUAGUCUUAUGAAUGUAAACGUUUUAAUAACAUAAUA
rnacentral:misc_RNA from 1 species